AUGAGAAUUUCCAUUGAUGAGUGCAAAGAAAGAACCGCUAGGAUGCGUGCUAAGAAAGAUGCCUUUAUAAAAGCAUGUUCUUCUAGUUCCUAUGAAAAUAAUGAUGAAGAUCUAAAAGUUAUUGAUGUGUCCCCUAUCAAAUCUUUGUUUUGCAAUAUGAAUCUUGAUAAUUAUGGGACUGAAUAUGAUCCACCUUUACCUAUAAGGCGUUCCAAAAAUUCAGAAUCUUUUGAUCUUGAUGCUAAAUUUGAUAAAAGUGGGAUUGAAGAAAUUAAAACCCUAGAUGUUGCUAAACACACUAUUAUGGAUUGA
rnacentral:rRNA from 1 species